GAUCGAUAUCACACGGAAGGUGGUCGUCUCUUGUUGGGGGCAAAAGGGCAAAAAAGGUUGCCUUAUUUGAAGGAAAGCUUUUCAACGCUGCUGCUGUAUUCUGCUGUUCCACAUAUCAAAAUGCUGUAUGUGAAAGAAAGUCCGUCCUUCCCUCCUUCGCUUACGGCCGGACACAUCAGAUCUCUCUCUGAACUUUUCCCUGAUAUCUCAUUCUACACGAUAAUCGUCUCGCUACCUCCCAGUCCCUGAUCAUGUGAUCGGCGGGAGAAGAUCCAGAGGCGGGAUCCGAUGGAUAGAAAGGUGAGUUCCGUGGACUUCACAUUUAAUGGAUGUUGUUUUUUUUUUUUUUUUUUGGGCUUACAGGGGCUGUACUCUAUAUUACACGACGAUAUCUUUCUAGGGCUCUCUAGAAUCUUGUAAUUUUAUUUUUCUUGAGCUAAGCCAUGUGUGUGUUGGCAUUGUAACUGAGCUAAUGUAGUUCUUAAAAUGACUGGUCCAUACUGUAAUCGGAGGAACGCAUUUAUCCGCUAGAUCACUUUUGAUUG